rnacentral:ncRNA from 1 species
UCUCUGACCGCGUGCCUGUUGAAGAAUGAGCCGGCGACUCAUAGGCAGUGGCUUGGUUAAGGGAACGGAACCAACCGGAGCCGUAGCGAAAGCGAGUCUUAAUAGGGCGAUUGUCACUGCUUAUGGACCCGAACCUGGGUGAUCUAUCCAUGACCAGGAUGAAGCUUGGAUGAAACUAAGCAGAGGUCCGAACCGACUGAUGUUGAAGAAUCAGCGGAUGAGUUG